rnacentral:rRNA from 1 species
UACGUAGGCAGCGAGCGUUGUUCGGAGUUACUGGGCGUAAAGGGUGUGUAGGCGGUUGUUUAAGUUUGGUGUGAAAUCUCCCGGCUCAACUGGAGGGUGCGCCGAAUACUGAGUGACUAGAGUGCGGGAGAGGAAAGUGGAAUUCCUGGUGUAGCGGUGAAAUGCGUAGAUAUCAGGAGGAACACCGGUGGUGUAGACGGCUUUCUGGACCGUAACUGACGCUGAGACACGAAAGCGUGGGUAGCAAACAGG